AGAAUCAACGCUGGCGGCGUGCCUAACACAUGCAAGUCGAACGAGAAAGUGGAGCAAUCCAUGAGUAAAGUGGCGCACGGGUGAGUAACACGUGACUAACCUACCUUUUAGUGGGGGAUAACCUAGGGAAACCUGGGCUAAUACCGCAUAAUACCUACGGGUCAAAGCAGCAAUGCGCUGAAAGAGGGGGUCGCGGUCGAUUAGUUAGUUGGCAGGGUAAUGGCCUACCAAGACUGUGAUCGAUAUCCGGCCUGAGAGGGCGCACGGACACACUGGAACUGAAACACGGUCCAGACUCCUACGGGAGGCAGCAGUGGGGAAUUUUGCGCAAUGGGGGAAACCCUGACGCAGCAACGCCGCGUGGAGGAUGAAGUCCCGUUGGGACGUAAACUCCUUUCGAUCGGGACGAUAAUGACGGUACCGGAAGAAGAACGCCCCGGCUAACGUUCGUGCCAGCAGCCGC
rnacentral:rRNA from 1 species